rnacentral:rRNA from 1 species
GCAGUCGAGCGGACAGAUGGGAGCUUGCUCCCUGAUGUUAGCGGCGGACGGGUGAGUAACACGUGGGUAACCUGCCUGUAAGACUGGGAUAACUCCGGGAAACCGGGGCUAAUACCGGAUGGUUGUUUGAACCGCAUGGUUCAAACAUAAAAGGUGGCUUCGGCUACCACUUACAGAUGGACCCGCGGCGCAUUAGCUAGUUGGUGAGGUAAUGGCUCACCAAGGCAACGAUGCGUAGCCGACCUGAGAGGGUGAUCGGCCACACUGGGACUGAGACACGGCCCAGACUCCUACGGGAGGCAGCAGUAGGGAAUCUUCCGCAAUGGACGAAAGUCUGACGGAGCAACGCCGCGUGAGUGAUGAAGGUUUUCGGAUCGUAAAGCUCUGUUGUUAGGGAAGAACAAGUACCGUUCGAAUAGGGCGGUACCUUGACGGUACCUAACCAGAAAGCCACGGCUAACUACGUGCCAGCAGCCGCGGUAAUACGUAGGUGGCAAGCGUUGUCCGGAAUUAUUGGGCGUAAAGGGCUCGCAGGCGGUUUCUUAAGUCUGAUGUGAAAGCCCCCGGCUCAACCGGGGAGGGUCAUUGGAAACUGGGGAACUUGAGUGCAGAAGAGGAGAGUGGAAUUCCACGUGUAGCGGUGAAAUGCGUAGAGAUGUGGAGGAACACCAGUGGCGAAGGCGACUCUCUGGUCUGUAACUGACGCUGAGGAGCGAAAGCGUGGGGAGCGAACAGGAUUAGAUACCCUGGUAGUCCACGCCGUAAACGAUGAGUGCUAAGUGUUAGGGGGUUUCCGCCCCUUAGUGCUGCAGCUAACGCAUUAAGCACUCCGCCUGGGGAGUACGGUCGC